ACCAAGGCUCAGAUGGGAUAACCGACUUUUCCAAGUCCAACAGACAGUAAGGAAAGGAAUGGCGAGAUCAACUCAGAUCUUCUCUUAGCCAUGCUGAGGGUAAUCGCCUUGCAAUUACCUCUUCAAUGGAUAUUCCUUGCAAGAAUUAAAACUCUAUUAGGCUUUUUCCAAGAUAGCUCCUUCCAGAACUCAGUUCAUCCAGGUCAAAAAAGCACUGGAAGGUAAAUUGGCAACCACUCAUCAUAUCACAUGAUGUUUUCCAAAAUGUAAGACUGUCCCAAUCAAAGGAGCUGGUAGCAAACAUAAUGAACGUCAGCUGAGACUCUAUAAACCAAAAAAGCCCUGGGUUGACUGUGUUCAUGUGACUUCAAAAGAGGGUAAUCUGCAGGGGGUGUUCCUGCAGGGCCUACUUUGCACCCUUUGCUACCCUUUAGAUACCAUUUGACCUCAUUUUCCUCUCUGUGUGAUGGCCAAACCACAGGCUCCCUCUUCUAUCUGGCCCCAUGAGCAUUAAUCAACUUCAACCUUCCCCAAGACCUGGCAGGAGAGAUGCAGUACCUACUUCUUAAUAAACUCAAACUGUCAUUGAAGAUGAAAGAUGAGACUGCAAAACUUCGAGCAUCCCAACUCCCCAGCUUGCCAAGUGCUGGGAAUCCGGAGGGGAGUGCCCUCGAGGACAGGUCUCUGUGGAUGGUGCAGAAAAGUCAGCUAGCUGCCUUCUCUUUUUUCCCUUCUCUUUCUUCCCCUAAAUGCUCCCUCAGUGAUACCACUGUGUCUGCAGUAAAGAGAGACUGUCUAGCUGUUUCUUUUUCAGCAAGACAAUUUGGUGUGUGGUCUGUGGUGCCCACACAUUCUUCUUUGCAAUGAGUGGUGGGUGAACAGUGUUUUCCAAGUUGGAUGUUACAGUACCAUAAGUAGAAACAGAUCUCCCGGAGCUCCGAACACUUUUUCUGCCUGAGUUGGGAGGAUCAGCAGGCUCCUGUGUAGAUGGCCCAGCAGAUUCCUUGGGAGCAGCUUUGCAGCAUUUCCCCACUCACUGGCCCUCACCAAUCAUAAUGAAAGCUCAAUUAGGUGGUGGACUUCCACUUUUGUAACUGCCAGGUACGAGAGACUUGAGCAUGAGUGUGACUACAGGAAGAAGCCAGCCUUAAAAGAGAAGAGGAAGAUAUAAGAAAGAGAGGAGAUAAUUGAAGGAACAAGGUUCCUGGCCCCUGAGGAGGCAAGGGCCGGUUGGUUGGAAUAAGAUACAGAGCACAGAAGAAGGUGUGAUCUUGGACAGGAGGAAAGACAGUGCUUCUUCCUUGGGAGGUAGGAAAGGGGUAAAGCUAUUGGUAAGGUAACAGUUGUGAGACUGGAGGAAGAAGCAGGAAAGGAAAUGAAACUGAUCAUCUUGAGGUUAACAUGAGCUAAUUGGGGGAAAUCACAUCACAACUUUUUGACUGGACAUCCCUGUGAUAGAAAUCUCUAUAUACAACAAAAGCUUUCCAAGCUCUGGCUAAUGGCCCAUGUAUAUGACAAAGCCAAAUACUGUGGUCAAAGAAUGAGGAUAAUUCAUAGAGGCAGUGUCAAGGAGACAUUGCCAAUAAUGAAAAAGCACUCCAAAAAGGAAGUAUAAAUGAUUUGCAAAUUGUAGCUAGUCUUGUAAUUACUGUGCAGGUAGAUGUCCCUAACUCUGUAUCUCCUGAUUCUUCCCCAAGCUCUUGUAUAGCUCACUUAAAAAAUUAACACUAGUUGAACAUACUAUCUAAAGGGCCAAUUGGGCACAGUCUGACACUCCCAAAGCAGGAGUUUUCUGUAUCCUCCUGGGAACUGCACCAAUUAUAAGCCAGAGGGUGAAGUUAGUUUGAGUUUGCUGCCCUGAGCCUCCCUCUUUUGUCCUUUUUCCCUUCUUAGCAGGUAGAUUCUUUUCUCUCCUCCAGGCACUCCACCUCCUAAUCACUACUCUUCACCUGCCAUGAAAACUGGCUUUCAGCAUAGGAUCUGAAAUUACAUUGGUCAUUUACACCUUAAUGUAAUUCUAAGGAACUGUUUACUCUCUCCCAGAGGCAUGGUUACACAAGUCUUCCAUUUUAAUUUUAUUAAAGGCUUUGAUCCCUCUUAGAAGGUGUUAGACACUCAGAAUCUGGAGAGAGAGCACUUGUUAUAACCUCCCAAAUCUUCCAAAAGCAGGGCAGGACACACAGGCACUUUCUGAAGUGACAGCCCAGCAAUGAUCAGAGUCUUUGAGUAUUUCUCUCUCUGGCAUGCUGCUACUUUUCCUUCUUUGUAGUUCUUUGUUGAUAGAAAUGGAUUUAAAAUGGCAUAAAUUCUUGGAGACAAAUAAAAUUCAUUGUUGGCAGAAA